GGAGGAAAGGAAUACUGAGCUGACACAGUUUCUUUUUUUUUUAAUUUUUUCUUAGAUUUUUCUUCAUUUAAAUUUCAAAUGCUAUCCCAAAAGUCCCCUAUACCCACCCCCUGCCCUGCUCCCCUACCCACUCACUCCCACUUCUGGGCUCUGGUGUUCCCCUGUACUGGGGCAUAUAAAGUUUGCUAGACCAAGGGGUCUCUCUUCCCAAUGAUGGCUGACUAGGCCAUCUUCUGCUACAUAUGCAGCUAGAGACAUGAGCUCUGGGGUACUGGUUAGUUCAUAUUGUUGUUCCACCUGUAGGGUUGCAGAGCCCUUCAGCUCUUGGGUACUUUCUCUAGCACCUCCAUUGGGGGUCCUGUGGUCCAUCCUAUAGAUGACUGUGAGCAUCAACUUCUGUAUUUGCCAGGCACUGGCAAAGCCUCACAGGAGACAGCUAUAUCAGGGUCCUUUCAGCAAAAUCUUGCUGGCAUAUGCAAUAGUGUCUGCAUUUGGUGGCUGAUUAUGGGGUGGGCCCCUGAGUGGGGCAGUUUCUGGAUGGUCCAUCCUUUCAUCUUAGCUCCAAACUUUGUCUCUGCAACUCCUUCCAUGGGUAUUUUAUUCCCUAUUCUAGGGAGGAAUGAAAUAUCCAUGCAUUGGUCUUCCUUCUUCUUGUGUUUUGGAAAUUGUAUCUUGGGUAUUCUAGGUUUCUGGUCUAAUAUCCAUUUAUCAGUGAGUGCAUAGCAAGUGACUUCUUUUGUGAUUGGGUUACCUCACUCAGGAUGAUAUCCUCCAGAUACAUCCAUUUUCCCAAGAACUUUAUAAAUUCAUUGUUUUUUAAUAGCUGAGUAGUACUGCAUUGUGUAAAUGUACCACAUUUUCUGUAUCCAUUCCUCUGUUGAGGGACAUCUUGGUUCUUUCCAGCUUCUGGCUAUUAUAAAUAGGGAUGCUAUGAAAAUAUUAUGAACUAACCAGUACCCCGGAGCUCUUGACUCUAGCUGCAUAUAUAUCAAAAGAUGGCCUAGUCGGCCAUCACUGGAAAGAGAGGCCCAUUGGACUUGCAAACUUUAUAUGCCCCAGUACAGGGGAACACCAGGGCCAAAAAGGGGGAGUGGGUGGGCAGGGGAGUGGGGGUGGGUGGAUAUGGGGGACUUUUGGUAUAGCAUUGGAAAUGUAAAUGAGUUAAAUACCAAAUAAAAAAUGGAAAAAAAAAUUGGGGAAAAAACUAAAUAAAAAGAAUUUU
rnacentral:lncRNA from 1 species